rnacentral:rRNA from 1 species
GUCGAACGAUGAACCAGCUUGCUGGUGGAUUAGUGGCGAACGGGUGAGUAACACGUGAGUAACCUGCCCUUGACUCUGGGAUAAGCCUGGGAAACUGGGUCUAAUACCGGAUAUGACCUUCCAUCGCAUGGUGGUUGGUGGAAAGCUUUUGUGGUUUUGGAUGGACUCGCGGCCUAUCAGCUUGUUGGUGGGGUAAUGGCCUACCAAGGCGACGACGGGUAGCCGGCCUGAGAGGGUGACCGGCCACACUGGGACUGAGACACGGCCCAGACUCCUACGGGAGGCAGCAGUGGGGAAUAUUGCACAAUGGGCGAAAGCCUGAUGCAGCGACGCCGCGUGAGGGAUGACGGCCUUCGGGUUGUAAACCUCUUUCAGUAGGGAAGAAGCCGCAAGGUGACGGUACCUGCAGAAGAAGCGCCGGCUAACUACGUGCCAGCAGCCGCGGUAAUACGUAGGGCGCAAGCGUUAUCCGGAAUUAUUGGGCGUAAAGAGCUCGUAGGCGGUUUGUCGCGUCUGCCGUGAAAGUCCGGGGCUCAACUCCGGAUCUGCGGUGGGUACGGGCAGACUAGAGUGAUGUAGGGGAGACUGGAAUUCCUGGUGUAGCGGU